rnacentral:rRNA from 1 species
CCUACGGGAGGCAGCAGUAGGGAAUAUUGCUCAAUGGGGGAAACCCUGAAGCAGCAACGCCGCGUGGAGGAUGAAGGUUUUAUGAUUGUAAACUCCUUUUGUUAGAGAAGAUUAUGACGGUAUCUAACGAAUACUCACCGGCUAACUCCGUGCCAGCAGCCGCGGUAAUACGGAGGGUGCAAGCGUUACUCGGAAUCACUGGGCGUAAAGCGUGCGUAGGCGGGGUAAUAAGUCAGAUGUGAAAUCCUGUAGCUUAACUACAGAACUGCAUUUGAAACUGUUACUCUGGAGUGUGGGAGAGGUAGGUGGAAUUCUUGGUGUAGGGGUAAAAUCCGUAGAGAUCAAGAAGAAUACUCAUUGCGAAGGCGACCUGCUGGAACAUUACUGACGCUGAUGCACGAAAGCGUGGGGAGCAAACAGGAUUAGAUACCCCUGUAGUC